rnacentral:lncRNA from 1 species
AUUCAAUGCUACCAACACUUCUUGAGUGUUUUCUUCUACACUAGCGUUGUAUUCAUAUCUGUAAUAACAAUUUUUGGCAAUGUGAUUUGUUCUGCCACAUAUUUGACAUGAUUCCCUUAGUUUGCUAACUUGGUGGCCCCUUCCAGUUAUUGUUAGAAUUUGGUGGAACUUUGGAGUUGAGAGCUUGAUAGUUGUGGCUGCUACGAGGAUGAUUGUG